rnacentral:rRNA from 1 species
CGGCCUUGACAUACUAAGAACUUUCCAGAGAUGGAUUGGUGCCUUCGGGAACUUAGAUACAGGUGCUGCAUGGCUGUCGUCAGCUCGUGUCGUGAGAUGUUGGGUUAAGUCCCGNAACGAGCGCAACCCUUUUCCUUAUUUGCCAGCGGGUCAUGCCGGGAACUUUAAGGAUACUGCCAGUGACAAACUGGAGGAAGGCGGGGACGACGUCAAGUCAUCAUGGCCCUUACGGCCAGGGCUACACACGUGCUACAAUGGUCGGUACAAAGGGGUUGCUACCUCGCGAGAGGAUGCUAAUCUCAAAAAGCCGAUCGUAGUCCGGAUCGCAGUCUGCAACUCGACUGCGUGAAGUCGGAAUCGCUAGUAAUCGCGGAUCAGAAUGCCGCGGUGAAUACGUUCCCGGGCCUUGUACACACCGCCCGUCACACCAUGGGAGUUUGUUGCACCAGAAGUAGGUAGUCUAACCGCAAGGAGGACGCUUACCACGGUGUGGCCGAUGACUGGGGUGAAGUCGUAACAAGGUAGGCGUAGAUGA